rnacentral:rRNA from 1 species
GUUGACCUCGGAUCAGGUAGGAAUACCCGCUGAAUUUAAGCA